UACAGAGGUCCCAAGCGUUGUUCGGAUUCACUGGGCGUAAAGGUGCGUAGGCGGUCGGGUAAGUCUGAUGUGAAAUCUCACAGCUUAACUGUGAAACUGCAUUGGAUACUAUCCGGCUCGAGGAAUGGAGGGGAGACUGGAAUACUUGGUGUAGCAGUGAAAUGCGUAGAUAUCAAGUGGAACACCAGUGGCGAAGGCGAGUCUCUGGACAUUUCCUGACGCUGAGGCACGAAAGCCAGGGAGCAAACGGG
rnacentral:rRNA from 1 species